AUUGAACGCUGGCGGCAGGCCUAACACAUGCAAGUCGAGCGGAUGAAGGGAGCUUGCUCCUGGAUUCAGCGGCGGACGGGUGAGUAAUGCCUAGGAAUCUGCCUGGUAGUGGGGGAUAACGUCCGGAAACGGGCGCUAAUACCGCAUACGUCCUGAGGGAGAAAGUGGGGGAUCUUCGGACCUCACGCUAUCAGAUGAGCCUAGGUCGGAUUAGCUAGUUGGUGGGGUAAAGGCCUACCAAGGCGACGAUCCGUAACUGGUCUGAGAGGAUGAUCAGUCACACUGGAACUGAGACACGGUCCAGACUCCUACGGGAGGCAGCAGUGGGGAAUAUUGGACAAGGGGCGAAAGCCUGAUCCAGCCAUGCCGCGUGUGUGAAGAAGGUCUUCGGAUUGUAAAGCACUUUAAGUUGGGAGGAAGGGCAGUAAGUUAAUACCUUGCUGUUUUGACGUUACCAACAGAAUAAGCGCCGGCUAACUUCGU
rnacentral:rRNA from 1 species